GUAACAAGGUUUCCGUAGGUGAUCCUGCGGAAGGAUCAUUACCGAGUGAGGGCCCUCUGGGUCCAACCUCCCACCCGUGUUUAUCGUACCUUGUUGCUUCGGCGGGCCCGCCGCAAGGCCGCCGGGGGGCAUCUGCCCUCUGGCCCGCGCCCGCCGAAGACACCAUUGAACGCUGUCUGAAGAUUGCAGUCUGAGCAAUUAGUUAAAUAACUUAAAACUUUCAACAACGGAUCUCUUGGUUCCGGCAUCGAUGAAGAACGCAGCGAAAUGCGAUACGUAAUGUGAAUUGCAGAAUUCAGUGAAUCAUCGAGUCUUUGAACGCACAUUGCGCCCCCUGGUAUUCCGGGGGGCAUGCCUGUCCGAGCGUCAUUGCUGCCCUCAAGCACGGCUUGUGUGUUGGGCUCCGUCCUCCUCCCGGGGGACGGGCCCGAAAGGCAGCGGCGGCACCGCGUCCGGUCCUCGAGCGUAUGGGGCUUCGUCACCCGCUCUGUAGGCCCGGCCGGCGCUUGCCGACACAUCAAUCUUUCCAGGUGAC
rnacentral:misc_RNA from 1 species